rnacentral:lncRNA from 1 species
GUAGCUGUUAACAUCACAGAAGCUCGACAGCUUGUUGGCGAAAACAUCGACCCCAGCGUGGUCGUCGAGAUCGGGGACGAAAAGAAACAGACGACUGUCAAAGAGGGAACUAAUGCCCCCUUUUACAAUGAGUACUUUGUGUUUGACGUCUUUGCCUACAAAGAGAUCUUCUAUGAUAAAGUCAUUAAGCUGACGGUAAUUCAUUCAAAGAUGCUGAGGACUUUCAGUGUGGGGUCUUUCAAGCUGGAUGUGUGGACCGUCUACAAACAGCCAGGUCACCAGUUCAUCAAUAAAUGGGCAAUGUUAACCGAUCCUGGAGACAUUAGCACUGGAGUCAAAGGUUAUGUUAAAUGUGACAUCAGUGUUUCAGCGAAGGGAGAGGCCAUGCAGCCCGGACAGAAAGCCAGUGAUGCUGAGGAGCAGAUAGACAAGAACCUGCUGAUUCCAGAGGGGUUUCCUUCUGAGCGCCCAUGGGCUCGUUUCUGUGUGAAGGUGUACCGAGCUGAAGGCCUUCCGCGAAACAACUCCAGCAUCAUGGCCAACGUCACCAAGGCCUUCAUCGGAGACAACACGGCGCUAAUAGACCCUUAUGUUGUGGUCAGCUUCUUUAAACAAAUGGGCCGCACGUCCACUAAGAAGUCCACAGCAGACCCAGUGUGGAAUGAGCAGAUUGUCUUCACUGAGAUGUUUCCGCCUUUGUGUCAGAGAUUAAAGAUUCAGGUCUGGGAUGAAGGAAGCAUGAAUGAUGUUGCCAUAGGAACCCAUUACUUUGAUCUGAAACGUGUUUCCAAUGAACAAGAUGGUGACAAAGGGUUUUUACCAACAUUUGGCCCUGCUUGGGUCAACCUGUAUGGCUCUGCAAGAAACUACACUUUGGGUGACGACACAGGAGAACUUAACGAAGGCAUUGGCGAGGGCGUUUCCUACAGGUUCCUGAUAAACCUUGACACGGUGAAUGGUGCUGUUUGUGUGCAGCUGACUGAAGAUGACUGUGAAAGCUUCCUGCUGUUUGGUGCUGUGUUUGAGGCCACGAUGAUUGACCGUAAGCUAGGAGACAAGCCCAUCAGCUUCGAGUUCUCCCUGGGUAACUAUGGUAAUGUUCUGGAGUCUUCAACCCAACCUUAUGCUAUUAGUCCUGCUGUUACCCGGAGGAAAAUAGGCCUGGACAUUCCAGACACCACCGAUGUGUUUGGCACCUCCCCCUCAGGCUCCUUCUCCAUCAGCACACCCCUCCUCUCACCCAGAGAACAUUACAUGCAUCUACCCCUGGAGAAGAAGAAGCCAUGUUUUAACGUGUUGAGUUACUGGGAGGACAGAACCUACCGUCUGUACAACUCUAACAUGCUGGAGAAUAUAGCUGUACUCUUUGUGAGCACACCCACACGCCCACACACAUGCACUCACACAUUAAAGCAACACAGGGUCGACAGUGGAAAUCAAAACUUCUUAUUAUUAAAAAGAAGACUCAGUAAAUGUGUUGUAAACAUCCAGGUUGCAUUUGUGUUGCAGGAGGGUAUGAUAGGAGAGGCCAAGUCAUUGACAGAGAGACGAAGAAAAGCUGGUGGAGUAAAAGAAAUGCUGCAGGAAGCUACAAAGAUAAUGCAGAAACUCAGGUUCCUUGUGGAAGAGCCCCAGCACAUGGUACCAGACAUGUUUGUGUGGUUGCUAAGCAACAACAAACGAGUAGCUUACGCCAGGGUUCGAACCCGCGACCUGCUGUACUCUGGCAACCAGGAAUCCCGAGGGGUUCUCUGUGGGAAAGUAGUAACCUUGUUCUUAAAGCCUCCAGGAAAGCGUGCUGCAGCAUUGACGGUUCAGGCCAAGCUAGACGUGUAUCUGUGGUUUGGAUCUUGUUCAGACUCCUCCCACAUGCUGGAUGACCUACCUGCAGGAUACACACCAAACGAGGGGGGUGCUGAUGCCAGCAGCCCCCCUUCACACCUGGUCUGCACAGAGCACCACCACUUUCAGCUGCGCUGCCACGUGUAUCAGGCUCGCGGUCUGAUAGCUGCAGACAACACGGGCCUGUCAGACCCAUUCGCCCGAGUCACGUUCCUCUCACACAGCCUAACCACGAAUGUAAGUACCCUGAGUCCAACAUGGAACCAGUGCUUGUUAAUGAGCCGCAUCCUGUUGAGUGGAGACCUGCAGUUCAUCCAGAAGGAGCCCCCGCGUGUCGUCAUCGAGGUGUACGAUGAUGACGCUCUGGGUAAAGCUGAGUACCUGGGAGCCACUGUGGCAGUCCCUGGUGUGCAUCUGACCUCUGAACCCUACAUCCCCCCCACCCUGCAGUAUAGUCCACUUCACUAUGGAAGCCAGUCAGGAGGAGACCUACUUGCUGCAUUUGAACUUCUCCAGAUCCCCAAGUCUGGCCAUUCGAGUCUACCGGCUUUAGAGGAAGAGGAAGGAGGCAUCUACACAGUUCCUGCCAACAUCAGGCCUGUUCUCAGCACCUACAGACUGGAGGUGUUGUUCUGGGGUUUGAGGGAGCUGAGGAAGGUUCAGCUUCUGUCUGUUGACCGACCACAGGUGUUUAUAGAGUGUGCAGGUAAAACUUUGCGGUCCUCCGUCAUUCAAAAGUACAAGUCCAACCCAAACUUCACUACGCUGGUAGACUCCAUGGAGCUGCUUCCGGAGAACGAACACCUCCAUCCUCCUCUCAGUAUCACGGUAGUCGACUGGCGGGCCUUCGGCCGCAGCACGCUGGUUGGAAACCACAUCAUCAACAAUCUCAAAGCUUUCAAGUCCACUCCACCUCCAGCCCCACCUCCAACCGACCGAACACAGAGACCAACUCAGGUCACGGAGGCCGGACCAGCUCCAACCACAGAGCCUCCGGUCUCUGAAGCUAUCGUCACUCUUCACACAGUCCUCACUCUGUUCGUCUUUUUCACACAGGAGAUCAGCGCCAAAAGCACCCGUCGUUCCACCAAGAGGAGGCGGCGGACCAUUGCUGAUGAGUCAGCAGAGUCCGUCAUCGACUGGUGGUCCAAAUACUACGCGUCUGUGGAGAAGCAGGUAACUUUCAAAGCUGUCUUAAAGGACUGGACAGGUGUCAGUCCAAACCUAAAAGCUCUGUACAACAAGGAGCUGGAGGCAGAGUUUGGACCGUUUGAUGAUUGGGUGACCACAUACGAGCUGUUCAGAGGAAAAGCCAAUGAGGAGGAGGGAACAUCUGAGGAGAGGUUUGUUGGGAAGUUUAAGGGACGAUUCUGCCUCUACAAGCUGACUGAUGGUGGAGAAGGAGGCUCGGAGGCAGUCAGAGACAUGGGCCACUACAGAAUUGACAGAGGGAUUCCUCCAAACAACCAGGUCCAGGUUCUCAUACGAGUCUACAUCAUCUCAGCAUCCAACCUGCAUCCAGCUGACCCCGACGGGAAAGCUGAUCCAUACAUUGUUCUUCGCAUUGGCAAAAAUGAAAUCAAAGACAGAGACAACUACAUUCCCAAGGAGCUGAAUCCUGUUUUUGGAAGAUCAUUUGAGUUGCAGGCUACAUUUCCUCAGGAGUCUCUUCUGUCAGUGGUUGUUUACGACUUUGACUUGGUGGGAGGAGACGACCUGAUUGGAGAGACUCGCAUAGACCUGGAGAACAGAUUCUACAGCCGACACAGAGCCACCUGUGGACUUCCUACUGAGUACAGCCUUGGGGGUUACAACGCCUGGAGAGACUGUCUGAAGCCAUCAGAGUUGCUGUCAAGGAUGUGCAGAGAAAACGGAGUGGACGGCCCUCACUUCAGUCCCGGUCGCAUCGUUGUGGCAGGCAAAGUUUUUACCGGAAAGACGCUCUACAUGGAAGAAGAUAAAGAUGAGCCGGUGGAGUCCUACGAGCACUUGUCCCUGAAGAUACUGCACCGCUGGGCUGAGAUCCCUGGUGUGGGAUGCAAGCUGGUUCCAGAACACAUUGAGACCAGAACUCUCUUCAACAAGACCCGGCCUGGAAUGGAUCAGGGCCAGGUUCAGAUGUGGGUGGACAUGUUCCCUUUGGACCUACCACAUCCAGGCCCUCCUGUAGACAUCUCACCUCGAAAACCCAAAGGGUAUGAGCUACGUAUAAUCAUCUGGAACACAGAGGAUGUCAUUCUGGAAGACACCAACUUUCUGACGGGCCAACAGUCCAGUGAUAUUUAUGUCAAAGGCUGGCUGAAGGGUUUAGAAGAUGACCGACAGGAGACAGAUGUUCACUACAACUCUCUGACCGGGGAAGGAAACUUCAACUGGCGCUUUGUGUUUCCCUUCAGCUAUAUGCCUGCUGAGAAGGUGGUGGUGGUGAAGAAAAGAGAACAUAUCUUCUCACUGGACAAAACCGAGCAGAAGCUCCCUGCCAUCCUAAUCCUGCAGGUCUGGGACUUUGAGACGCUCUCCUCCGACGACUUCCUUGGUGCAUUAGAGCUGGACCUUCAUGGAUUUCCUCGUGGAGCAAAAACAGCCAAGUCAUGCAAAGCAGAGAUGUUGACAGACCUGAUGGAGAAAAUCUCCAUCUUCCAGCAGAAGAGGGCUCGUGGCUGGUGGCCAUUCUGCAACAUCAUCUUUGUGACUCUCCAGGGGAAGGUGGAGGCAGAGUUCCAUCUGGUGACAGGUGACGAGGCUGAGAAGAACCCAGUAGGAAAGGCGAGGAAAGAGCCAGAGCCACUGCCCAAACCAAACCGCCCCGACACCUCCUUCUCCUGGUUUGUGAAUCCGUUUAAGUGUUUCUUCCACCUGGUGUGGCGAAGCUACAAGAAGUACAUCAUCAUCGCUCUAAUCCUGCUCAUCACCGUGCUCUUCCUCGCCCUGUUGUUCUACACUCUGCCAGGAGCCAUCUCUCAGAAGAUCAUCAAUGGAUGAAGCAGACAGCAGGCUUCAGAGGAGAUAGCCUUCAUUAAAAUAUAUUUUCCAGGUUUAAAUGUAGUGUUGAAUAAGACAUGCUAGCCUGUUAUCUAUAAACAGUUCUUGUUUGUAACCUGGUCAAAGACUCAAACUAGUCUGAAAAGUGAAGAUGCACAAAGAAUAUUACUUUGUUUCUGUGGACAGAAGGUUAAAGGUUAACGUUGUUUUCCAAGUUCAGAAGCUGGAAUUUUUAAACCUCCAAUCUGAGAUCAUGAAGUUUAUUUCCUCCUCGAGAUGCUGACGUAAAACUAGACCAAGACUCUUGAACAGCACUGAUUAUAAAAGAACGCAAAUAAAAUGGAAACUUUUUUUU